GCCAGGUGUGGUGGCACAUACCUGUAAUCCCAGCUACUGGGGAGGCUGAGAUGGGAGAAUCACUUGAACCCAGGAGGCAGAGGUUGCAGUGAGCUGAGAUCACGGCACUGCACUCCAGCCUGGGUGACAGGGUGAGAUCCCAUCUCAA
rnacentral:SRP_RNA from 1 species